ACCAGCAGCCAUAUCACCCUGCAACUCACAGCUGGCACCCUGUUGAAGCUCAGCAGGUGUGAGCCUGGUCAGUACCUGGAUGGGAGACCUCCUGGGAAAGCUAAACAUGCUGCUGGAA
rnacentral:rRNA from 1 species